UACGUAGGGUCCGAGCGUUGUCCGGAAUUAUUGGGCGUAAAGAGCUCGCAGGCGGUUUGUCGCGUCUGCUGUGAAAUCCCGAGGCUCAACCUCGGGCCUGCAGUGGGUACGGGCAGACUGGAGUGCGGUAGGGGAGAAUGGAAUUCCUGGUGUAGCGGUGGAAUGCGCAGAUAUCAGGAGGAACACCGGUGGCGAAGGCGGAUCUCUGGGCCUUACCUGACGCUCAGGCGCGAAAGCUAGGGGAGCGAACAGG
rnacentral:rRNA from 1 species